rnacentral:rRNA from 1 species
UACGUAGGGGGCGAGCGUUGUCCGGAAUCAUUGGGCGUAAAGCGCGUGUAGGCGGCCCGGUAAGUCCGCUGUGAAAGUCCAGGGCUCAACCCUGGGACGCCGGUGGAUACUGUCGGGCUCGAGUCCGGAAGAGGCGAGUGGAAUUCCUGGUGUAGCGGUGAAAUGCGCAGAUAUCAGGAGGAACACCGGUGGCGAAGGCGGGUCUCUGGGCCGAUACUGACGCUGAGGAGCGAAAGCGUGGGGAGCGAACAGG